rnacentral:lncRNA from 1 species
CGUGUUUAGAUUCUCAUUGGUCUAUCUUUUACACGUGUUUGUCACCUUUACCUAUGUAUAGGGAAUAGCAGGGGCGAAAUAGUCUCGACCUUUUUCAUUUUUGGCCUUUAUUAUUUGACAUUUCUGGAGAGAGAUACAGGGAAUCCAUUUUCAAGCUAGUGGAAAUGGGUGGCGAUAAGGCGUUAAGGGUUCUGCUAGUGGUGGUUCUUGUGGCGGUGGCAGUUGGGGGGCAAGAGGUUCAAGGCCCAGUGCACCAUGUGGUCGGUGGAAACCGUCGUUGGAACCCUGAUUCCGACAUCGGUACUUGGUUGUCCGGCCGAGUCUUCAGGGUUGGUGAUAAACUCUGUAAGCAUCUAUCUUCUUUGAAUUUAAAAUAUACUUUUUAGAAAAUAAGCUUAAAAGCUCAGUAAAUGUAUGAACAAUGUUUAGGAAGUUUACUUAUAAGCAACUUAGCAGUAAGUUUACUUUCGUGUUUUACGCAGGGUUUACCUACUCAGUACCACAGGAAAACAUCGUGGAGCUGCAGAGUCUGGAUGAAUUCGAAUCCUGUGAUCUCUCAAAUCCUAUCAAGAUGUACACGGAUGGAUUAAAUCAAAUUCCACUUGAAACUGAAGGGAAUAGGUAUUUUGUGAUUGGGAACCAGGAAAAUUGCGAUAAUGGUCUGAAACUACACGUUGACGUGAAGCCUUCGGAGACGCAGCCGCCGCCUAACCCAUGGCCGGAGCCGUUUCCUAUAUUUUCGCCUCCAACACCGGAGCCUAAGCCAUUUUUGCCGCCGCCUCCGGAACCUAAGCCAAUUUUUCCUCCACCGGUGCCUAAGCCAUCUCCGCCUCCACCGUCUCCGCCUCCGCCAUCUCCGCCUCCGCCUAAGCGAUCUCCUCCUCCACCGUCUCCUCCUCCGCCAUCUCCGCCUCCAGCUUCUCCUCCUCCGCCAUCUCCCCCUCCGCCUAAGCGAUCUCCUCCUCCGCCAUCUCCACCUCCGCCUAAGCCAUCUCCUCCUCCACCGGAGCCGAAGCCAGAGCCCUGGCCUGUGCCACCCUCUGGCUCGACUCAAUUGAAUGGACUUUCCUUUGGUCUGUUUGUUGGGUUUCUACUUUGCUCCUUGGGCCUAUCUACGGGACUGUAGUGGCCCUGUUCCUUAAGGAUAUGUUUGGAUGGUUCAGUAACUAGGAGGUUAGUUAAACUUAUUUAAUUAAUAAACGUUUUUGUCUGUACCAUUAACAAAGACAUUGUGUUGGUUGUGUAUUUGAACCAGUUUUAUUGGGUUCAAUCAUCUAUUUUUGAACUUGUUCUAGUAUUUGCUAAAUGAAUAUGGUCCAUUUUGUGAUGCUCGUUUAUGAAUGGCUAAAUUUCAUUUCACUUGUUUGUGUGAAUAAAUAACUAUUAUUACCUCAUUCAUGACUGUUAAUAUGUAUUUUACCCACCACGUUUGAGUCG